rnacentral:rRNA from 1 species
UACGGAGGGUGCGAACGUUAAUCGGAAUUACUGGGCGGAAAGGGCGCGUAGGCGGUUCGAUAAGUCCCGUGUGAAAGCCCCCGGCUCAACUGGGGAACUGCACGGGAAACUGACGGACUUGAGUUCGGGAGAGGGAAGCGGAAUUCCGGGUGUAGCGGUGAAAUGCGUAGAUAUCCGGAGGAACACCGGUGGCGAAGGCGGCUUCCUGGACCGACACUGACGCUGAGGCGCGAAAGCUAGGGGAGCAAACGGG